rnacentral:rRNA from 1 species
GACGAACGCUGGCGGCGUGCUUAACACAUGCAAGUCGAACGGAAAGGCCCUGCUUUUGUGGGGUGCUCGAGUGGCGAACGGGUGAGUAACACGUGAGUAACCUGCCCUUGACUUUGGGAUAACUUCAGGAAACUUGGGCUAAUACCGGAUAGGGGCUCCUGCUGCAUGGUGGGGGUUGGAAAGUUUCGGCGGUUGGGGAUGGACUCGCGGCUUAUCAGCUUGUUGGUGGGGUAGUGGCUUACCAAGGCUUUGACGGGUAGCCGGCCUGAGAGGGUGACCGGCCACAUUGGGACUGAGAUACGGCCCAGACUCCUACGGGAGGCAGCAGUGGGGAAUAUUGCACAAUGGGCGGAAGCCUGAUGCAGCAACGCCGCGUGCGGGAUGACGGCCUUCGGGUUGUAAACCGCUUUCGCCUGUGACGAAGCGUGAGUGACGGUAAUGGGUAAAGAAGCACCGGCUAACUACGUG